rnacentral:rRNA from 1 species
GAUGAACGCUGGCGGCGCGCCUAACACAUGCAAGUCGAACGGCACCCACCCUCGGGUGGAAGCGAGUGGCGAACGGCUGAGUAACACGUGGAGAACCUGCCCCCUCCCCCGGGAUAGCCGCCCGAAAGGACGGGUAAUACCGGAUACCCCGGGGUGCCGCAUGGCACCCCGGCUAAAGCCCCGACGGGAGGGGAUGGCUCCGCGGCCCAUCAGGUAGACGGCGGGGUGACGGCCCACCGUGCCGACAACGGGUAGCCGGGUUGAGAGACCGACCGGCCAGAUUGGGACUGAGACACGGCCCAGACUCCUACGGGAGGCAGCAGUGGGGAAUCUUGCGCAAUGGGGGGAACCCUGACGCAGCGACGCCGCGUGCGGGACGGAGGCCUUCGGGUCGUAAACCGCUUUCAGCAGGGAAGAGUCAAGACUGUACCUGCAGAAGAAGCCC